rnacentral:rRNA from 1 species
UAGGGAAUCUUCCGCAAUGGACGCAAGCCUGACGGAGCAACGCCGCGUGAGUGAAGAAGGAUUUCGGUUCGUAAAACUCUGUUGUUAGAGAAGAACAGCGCAUAGAGUAACUGUUAUGCGUGUGACGGUAUCUAACCAGAAAGCCACGGCUAACUACGUGCCAGCAGCCGCGGUAAUACGUAGGUGGCAAGCGUUGUCCGGAUUUAUUGGGCGUAAAGCGAGCGCAGGCGGUCAAUUAAGUCUGAUGUGAAAGCCCCCGGCUCAACCGGGGAGGGUCAUUGGAAACUGGUUGACUUGAGUGCAGAAGAGGAGAGUGGAAUUCCAUGUGUAACGGUGAAAUGCGUAGGUAUAUGGAGGAACACCAGUGGCGAAGGCGACUCUCUGGUCUGUAACUGACGCUGGGGCUCGAAAGCGUGGGUAGCAAACAGG